UACGAAGGGGGCUAGCGUUGUUCGGAAUCACUGGGCGUAAAGCGCACGUAGGCGGAUUGUUAAGUCGGGGGUGAAAUCCUGGAGCUCAACUCCAGAACUGCCUUCGAUACUGGAAGACUCGAGUCCGGGAGAGGUGAGUGGAACUGCGAGUGUAGAGGUGAAAUUCGUAGAUAUUCGCAAGAACACCAGUGGCGAAGGCGGCUCACUGGCCCGGUACUGACGCUGAGGUGCGAAAGCGUGGGGAGCAAACAGG
rnacentral:rRNA from 1 species